GCGUUAAAGCUUCCCCGCUUGGAAAGUACGGUUCGCAAGACUUAAAACUUCAAAGAAAUUGACGGGGACCCCGCACAAGCGUUGGAGUAUGUGGCUUAAUUNGAUGCAACGCGAAGANCCUUACCAAGGCUUGACAUGCAUCUCUAAACACGUGAAAGCGUGUGACCCUUCGGGGAAUUUGCACAGGUGCUGCAUGCCCGUCGUCAGCUCGUGUCGUGAGAUGUUGGGUUAAGUCCCGCAACGAGCGCAACCCUUGUGAUUAGUUGCCAGCACGUCAUGGUGGGAACUCUAAUCAGACUGCCCUGAUCAACUGGGAGGAAGGUGGGGACGACGUCAGGUCAGUAUGGCCCUUACGCCUUGGGCUGCACACGUACUACAAUGCCCAGCACAAUGAGAACCGAUACCGCGAGGUGGAGGAAAUCUGUAAAACUGGGCUCAGUUCGGAUUGGAGGCUGCAACUCGCCUCCAUGAAGUUGGAAUCGCUAGUAAUGGUGCAUCAUCUACGGCACCGUGAAUACGUUCCCGGGUCUUGUACACACCGCCCGUCACAUCAUGGAAGCCGGUCGCACCCGAAGUGCUCGUACCAACCCAUUCGCAAGUUUGGGGGGUAGAGUCCUAAGGUGUACCUGGUAACUGGGAUGAAGUCGUAACAAGGU
rnacentral:rRNA from 1 species